UUUUAUCACCUAGUUUCUCCCCAAUUUCUUGGAUCAUCAAACCACCAAAGUUGAAAUAUUCAUUAGUCAGGUACAUGUAAAGCAUUUGUAAAAUCUGGGAAGUAAGAGCAUUGAAAUUACUAAUUUUACCAGAAAAUGCCUUAAUAAAUGCAUCACACAAAUAACUCCAUUCUCUCCUAAGACCCCUUCUUUCUAUUUUACCUAAGGCAUCAGUUGGCAAUACAUAAUUCAUGGCAUAAAGUAAAUUAACCAACUGAACAUCACUAGGCAAAGAUAAAACAGUAUCUUCAGGAAUCUUAA
rnacentral:lncRNA from 1 species